CCUACGGGAGGCAGCAGUAAGGAAUAUUGGUCAAUGGGCGAAAGCCUGAACCAGCCACGCCGCGUGAAGGAAGACGGCCCUACGGGUUGUAAACUUCUUUUCUACGGGAAUAAACCUCAGGACGUGUCCUGAGCUGAAGGUACCGUAGGAAUAAGGAUCGGCUAACUCCGUGCCAGCAGCCGCGGUAAUACGGAGGAUCCAAGCGUUAUCCGGAUUUAUUGGGUUUAAAGGGUGCGUAGGUGGGAGAAUAAGUCAGAGGUGAAAGCUAGCAGCUUAACUGUUAAAUUGCCUUUGAUACUGCUUUCCUUGAGUCUAGUUGGCGUUGGCGGAAUGUGACAUGUAGCGGUGAAAUGCGUAGAUAUGUCACAGAACACCGAUCGCGAAGGCAGCUAACGAAGCUAGUACUGACACUGAUGCACGAAAGCGUGGGGAGCAAACAGGAUUAGAUACCCUGGUAGUCCACGCCGUAAACGAUGAUAACUCGACGUUGGCAAUAUACUGUUCAGCGUCCAAGCGAAAGCGUUAAGUUAUCCACCUGGGGAGUACGAUCGCAAGGUUGAAACUCAAAGGAAUUGACGGCUGGNGAGNGCGAGACGACGACGAGGGAGAGG
rnacentral:rRNA from 1 species